CCUACGGGAGGCAGCAGUGGGGAAUUUUGGACAAUGGGGGCAACCCUGAUCCAGCCAUGCCGCGUGAGUGAAGAAGGCCUUCGGGUUGUAAAGCUCUUUCAGCACGGAAAGAAAUCGUAAUGAUCGAAUACACCAUGUGGAUGACGGUACCUUGAUAAGAAGCACCGGCUAACUACGUGCCAGCAGCCGCGGUAAUACGUAGGGUGCGAGCGUUAAU
rnacentral:rRNA from 1 species